rnacentral:rRNA from 1 species
CACGUAGUUAGCCGCAGCUUCUUCUUCAGGUACCGUCAUUAUCGUCCCUGCCGAAAGAGCUUUACACCCCGAAGGGCUUCAUCGCUCACGCGGCGUCGCUGCAUCAGGGUUUCCCCCGUUGUGCAAGAUUCCCCA